UACGUAGGGGGCAAGCGUUGUCCGGAAUCAUUGGGCGUAAAGCGCGCGUAGGCGGCCCGGUAAGUCCGCUGUAAAAGUCCAGGGCUCAACCCUGGAAAGCCGGUGGGUACUGUCGGGCUAGAGUCCGGAAGAGGCGAGUGGAAUUCCCGGUGUAGCGGUGAAAUGCGUAGAUAUCGGGAGGAACAUCAGUGGCGAAGGCGGCUAUCUGGACUAACACUGACACUGAGACUCGAAAGCGUGGGGAGCAAACAGG
rnacentral:rRNA from 1 species